rnacentral:lncRNA from 1 species
CUCCUCCCUCAAUGUUGUUUUCAUAUCUCUCCCCAGCUUCACUUUAUUUCCCUGAUUGAGAUUGUUCAGGAAACUCCUCUGAAUCCCUCUGUACUGUAGCCUUUUUUUGGGGGGGGGGAGGGGUGAGACGUUGAUCCACUUUCACUUUCUUUUCUUUUGGGAGAUAUGUUUCACCUACAAACAACAGAGAAACAAAAAUUACAUUACAAUUGUUGUAUGCAU